rnacentral:rRNA from 1 species
UUCCGGUUGAUCCUGCCGGACCCGACUGCUAUCGGAUUGGGACUAAGCCAUGCGAAUCAACUCCGCAAGGGGUGGCGCACGGCUCAGUAACACGUGGUUAACCUACCCUCGGGACGGGGAUAACCUCGGGAAACUGAGGCUAAUCCCAGAUAGAUGAGGGAUCCUGGAAUGGUUCCUCAUCGAAAAGGCACGCAUAUCAUGCUAUGCGUGUCGCCUGAGGAUGGGACCGCAUCCUAUCAGGUAGUUGGUGGGGUAACGGCCCACCAAGCCUAUAACGGGUACGGGCCCUGAGAGGGGGAGCCCGGAGAUGGGUACUGAGACAAGGACCCAGGCCCUACGGGGCGCAGCAGGCGCGAAACCUCCGCAAUGCGCGAAAGCGCGACGGGGCCACCCCGAGUGCCAUCCGCUGAGGGUGGCUUUUCCCUAGUGUAGUAAGCUAGGGGAAUAAGCGGGGGGCAAGUCUGGUGUCAGCCGCCGCGGUAAAACCAGC